rnacentral:rRNA from 1 species
GUCCUUUAGAAUUUAAUUAAAGGUCUAACCUGCCCACUGAUUUUUAAAUGGCCGCAGUAAUUUGACUGUGCAAAGGUAGCAUAAUCAUUAGUUUUUUAAUUAAAAGCUUGUAUGAAAGGUUGGACGAAGUAAAAUCUGUCUCUAUUUAAUUUAAGUUAGAAUUUAACUUUUAAGUCAAAAGGCUUAAAUGUAAUUAAAAGACGAGAAGACCCUAUAGAUCUUUAUAAUUUAUUUAUUAAAUUUGGUUAGGAAUUUUUUUUAAUUUAUUAAUUUAAUUAUUUUAUUGGGGUAAUAUAAAGAUUAAAAUAAUUCUUUUUUUUUAUUUACAUUAAUUUAUGAUUUUUUUGAUCCAAUUUUAUUGAUUAUAAGAUUAAGUUACCUUAGGGAUAACAGCGUAAUUUUUUUUGAGAGUUCUUAUCGAUAAAAAAGUUUGCGACCUCGAUGUUGGAUUAAAGAUUAUUUCAGGUGUAGAAGUUUGAAAAUUUUGGUCUGUUCGACCAUUAAAUCUUUACAUGAUCUGAGUUCAGACCGGUGUAAGCCAGGUCGGUUUCUAUCUUUAAUAAAUUAAAAUAUUUUAGUACGAAAGGACCAAAUAUUUAAUAUAAAAUAUUUAAAUUUUUGAUUAUUAUUAA